UCCACGCCAUAAACGAUGUCAACUGGUUGUUGGACGGCUUGCUGUUCAGUAACGAAGCUAACGCGUGAAGUUGACCGCCUGGGGAGUACGGCCGCAAGGUUGAAGCUCAAAGGAAUUGACGGGGACCCGCACAAGCGGUGGAUGAUGUGGUUUAAUUCGAUGCAACGCGAAAAACCUUACCUACUCUUGACAUGUCAAGAAUCUUGCAGAGAUGUGGAGUGCUCGAAAGGUCAACUUGAACACAGGUGCUGCAUGGCCGUCGUCAGCUCGUGUCGUGAGAUGUUGGGUUAAGUCCCGCAACGAGCGCAACCCUUGUCAUUAGUUGCUACGAAAGGGCACUCUAAUGAGACUGCCGGUGACAAACCGGAGGAAGGUGGGGAUGACGUCAGGUCCUCAUGGCCCUUGUGGGUAGGGCUACACACGUCAUACAAUGGCCGGUACAGAGGGUUGCCAACCCGCGAGGGGGAGCCAAUCCCAGAAAACCGGUCGUAGUCCGGAUCGCAGUCUGCAACUCGACUGCGUGGAGUCGGAAUCGCUAGUAAUCGCGGAUCAGCUUGCCGCGGUGAAUACGUUCCCGGGUCUUGUACACACCGCCCGUCACACCAUGGGAGCGGGUUCUGCCAGAAGUAGUUAGCCUAACCGCAAGGAGGGCGAUACCACGGCA
rnacentral:rRNA from 1 species